GGCCAAGGUGGGACUUGUCAUAGAAAAAAAGCUGCCAUCCAGAAACUAAGCUUGGACCUGAGCCCCCCUCACAGCCAGGGCCAGCUUGAUGUGGCUGGCAGCCUGAGGAAGGAUUAAAGGGACUGCUGCCUUCAGAAAAGCAUCUGAGCCCUUUGGCACUGCUAGCAAUACCCCAUCGCCCGGCACAGUGGAGCUCGGAGAAUCCCCACCACCUUUUGAGAGUGGCACUCCUCAAAAAGAGCCCAAUCUACUUCCCCGGUGUCUCCAUCACUGCUCUCGCUCUGCCUGCCCCCUGGAAAAUGGUAAAUUCCAAACAGAUGGGCAAGUCUUC